GGGAAAGACAUUCAGUGUCUUCCCCUUUCCCAACUCUCUAUCCCAUCAACCUCAGACUUGCAAAACUAGUGUGUCAAGAGAGACACAAGAGGUUAGUCCUGAAGGAGAAGACCUGCCCUGCAAAUCCUCCUGAGAACUGUGGAGAACAGAGCUCUCCUAGCACAGAAAGAAAGUCCUGGGAGGAUCUUGCACUUCAUGAGUUUCCAGUAUUCCCUGAGAGGCUCUGAGCCUUCACCUGCAUUUCCAGCAUUACCAAUAACAACUUGUAAACAACUACUCUAUAUGAUGACAAAUUUCCAUAACCCAUUGGACAACCAAAAAUCACCCCCACAACUCUUGGGAAUUGAGACACAACUACUCCUGGCAAACCAAUUAUGUCUGAGAGGAAGAUGGGCAUUGAAGAAAC